rnacentral:rRNA from 1 species
AGUGAACGCUGGCGGUAGGCCUAACACAUGCAAGUCGAACGGCAGCACAGUAAGAGCUUGCUCUUACGGGUGGCGAGUGGCGGACGGGUGAGGAAUACAUCGGAAUCUACUUUUUCGUGGGGGAUAACGUAGGGAAACUUACGCUAAUACCGCAUACGACCUACGGGUGAAAGCAGGGGAUCUUCGGACCUUGCGCGAUUGAAUGAGCCGAUGUCGGAUUAGCUAGUUGGCGGGGUAAAGGCCCACCAAGGCGACGAUCCGUAGCUGGUCUGAGAGGAUGAUCAGCCACACUGGAAAUGAGACACGGUCCAGACUCCUACGGGAGGCAGCAGUGGGGAAGAUUGGACAAUGGGCGCAAGCCUGAUCCAGCCAUACCGCGUGGGUGAAGAAGGCCUUCGGGUUGUAAAGCCCUUUUGUUGGGAAAGAAAAGCAGCAGGUUAAUACCCCGCUGUUCUGACGGUACCCAAAGAAUAAGCACCGGCUAACUUCGUG